CGCAUCUGUGCAUGCAGCAUAUCAAUAAGCGGAGGAAAAGAAACUAACAAGGAUUCCCCUAGUAACGGCGAGUGAAGCGGGAAGAGCUCAAAUUUGAAAUCUUAAAGGGUUUCCCUUUACGAAUUGUAGUUUAAAGAAGUGUUUUCUGUUGAGGUUCUGGUAAAAGUUCUUUGGAAUAGGACAUCAUAGAGGGUGAGAAUCCCGUAUUUGACCUUUACUUUCAACUUUGUGAUACACUUUCAAAGAGUCGGAUUGUUUGGGAAUGCAGUCCAAAAUGGGUGGUAAAUUUCAUCUAAAGCUAAAUAUUGGCGAGAGACCGAUAGCGAACAAGUACCGUGAGGGAAAGAUGAAAAGAACUUUGAAAAGAGAGUUAAACAGUACGUGAAAUUGUCAAAAGGGAAGCGUUUGACACCAGUGUUGUUUUUCUGAAAAUCAAUUAAAGAACUGUUUAUGCUAAGUUGUUUAGACUUUAUCAGCUAACUGUUUAGUUUUGAGCCUUUCUUUAAUGCACUUUUCAGUUAACAAGUCAACAUCAAUUUCUUUUGCUGUAAAAAGCUUGAGGAAGGUGGCUUGAGAUUCGUCUUAAGUGUUUAUAGCCUCUUGCCUAUGCAGUCGGAGAGAUUGAGGUCUGCAGCGUAGAUCCUUCGGGGCUAAAUGCAUUUGUGCUAAGUUAUAGCAUUUUAUAGACAACUUGUUGACUAUGAUUUGUCUUGUAGCUUACUCGCUUAUGUUAUUUUACCUACGCUUAGGAUGUUGAAUCUGUGCGAGACUAC
rnacentral:rRNA from 1 species